rnacentral:rRNA from 1 species
GAUGAACGCUGGCGGCGUGCCUAAUACAUGCAAGUCGAGCGAACGGACGAGAAGCUUGCUUCUCUGAUGUUAGCGGCGGACGGGUGAGUAACACGUGGAUAACCUACCUAUAAGACUGGGAUAACUUCGGGAAACCGGAGCUAAUACCGGAUAAUAUUUUGAACCGCAUGGUUCAAAAGUGAAAGACGGUCUUGCUGUCACUUAUAGAUGGAUCCGCGCUGCAUUAGCUAGUUGGUAAGGUAACGGCUUACCAAGGCAACGAUGCAUAGCCGACCUGAGAGGGUGAUCGGCCACACUGGAACUGAGACACGGUCCAGACUCCUACGGGAGGCAGCAGUAGGGAAUCUUCCGCAAUGGGCGAAAGCCUGACGGAGCAACGCCGCGUGAGUGAUGAAGGUCUUCGGAUCGUAAAACUCUGUUAUUAGGGAAGAACAUAUGUGUAAGUAACUGUGCACAUCUUGACGGUACCUAAUCAGAAAGCCACGGCUAACUACGUGCCAGCAGCCGCGGUAAUACGUAGGUGGCAAGCGUUAUCCGGAAUUAUUGGGCGUAAAGCGCGCGUAGGCGGUUUUUUAAGUCUGAUGUGAAAGCCCACGGCUCAACCGUGGAGGGUCAUUGGAAACUGGAAAACUUGAGUGCAGAAGAGGAAAGUGGAAUUCCAUGUGUAGCGGUGAAAUGCGCAGAGAUAUGGAGGAACACCAGUGGCGAAGGCGACUUUCUGGUCUGUAACUGACGCUGAUGUGCGAAAGCGUGGGGAUCAAACAGGAUUAGAUACCCUGGUAGUCCACGCCGUAAACGAUGAGUGCUAAGUGUUAGGGGGUUUCCGCCCCUUAGUGCUGCAGCUAACGCAUUAAGCACUCCGCCUGGGGAGUACGACCGCAAGGUUGAAACUCAAAGGAAUUGACGGGGACCCGCACAAGCGGUGGAGCAUGUGGUUUAAUUCGAAGCAACGCGAAGAACCUUACCAAAUCUUGACAUCCUUUGACAACUCUAGAGAUAGAGCCUUCCCCUUCGGGGGACAAAGUGACAGGUGGUGCAUGGUUGUCGUCAGCUCGUGUUGUGAGAUGUUGGGUUAAGUCCCGCAACGAGCGCAACCCUUAAGCUUAGUUGCCAUCAUUAAGUUGGGCACUCUAAGUUGACUGCCGGUGACAAACCGGAGGAAGGUGGGGAUGACGUCAAAUCAUCAUGCCCCUUAUGAUUUGGGCUACACACGUGCUGCAAUGGACAAUACAAAGGGCAGCGAAACCGCGAGGUCAAGCAAAUCCCAUAAAGUUGUUCUCAGUUCGGAUUGUAGUCUGCAACUCGACUACAUGAAGCUGGAAUCGCUAGUAAUCGUAGAUCAGCAUGCUACGGUGAAUACGUUCCCGGGUCU